rnacentral:sRNA from 1 species
AGCACCUGCGGCGGACAAAGCAUUCUCCGAAGAACGGCUGUGCAGGUAGCCGGAGAGUGUACGGUCUGGUAACAUACGGAUGCCGUAUGUUAAAGGCAUU